rnacentral:ncRNA from 3 species
ACUUCAUCCAGAGUGGCUGAGGGACAGGCCCUGUGACGCCACGGCAACCACGCGACCGCCAGGUCGCGGUUUAGGUGCCAAUUCCAACCUUCAGCGCCGGCUCAAUGCCGGCGUUCAAGCGCCGGCUCAAUGCCGGCCUUCGAAGAAGGACAGAUGAGGG